rnacentral:rRNA from 1 species
UGCCAGCAGCCGCGGUAAUACGGAGGGGGCUAGCGUUGUUCGGAAUUACUGGGCGUAAAGGGCGUGUAGGCGGUCUAUCGAGUCAGGCGUGAAAGCCCCGGGGCUCAACCCCGGAACUGCAAUCGAAUCUGCCUCGCUAGAGUCCCGGAGAGGAAGGCGGAAUUCCCGGUGUAGAGGUGAAAUUCGUAGAUAUCGGGAGGAACACCAGUGGCGAAGGCGGCCUUCUGGACGGUGACUGACGCUGAGACGCGAAAGCGUGGGGAGCAAACAGGAUUAGAUA